GAUGAACGCUGGCGGCGUGCCUAAUACAUGCAAGUCGAGCGAACAGAUGAGAAGCUUGCUUCUCUGAUGUUAGCGGCGGACGGGUGAGUAACACGUGGGUAACCUACCUAUAAGACUGGGAUAGCUUCGGGAAACCGGAGCUAAUACCGGAUAACAUUUAGAACCGCAUGGUUCUAAAGUGAAAGAUGGUUUUGCUAUCACUUAUAGAUGGACCCGCGCCGUAUUAGCUAGUUGGUAAGGUAACGGCUUACCAAGGCGACGAUACGUAGCCGACCUGAGAGGGGGAUCGGCCACACUGGAACUGAGACACGGUCCAGACUCCUACGGGAGACAGCAGUAGGGAAUCUUCCGCAAUGGGCGAAAGCCUGACGGAGCAACGCCGCGUGAGUGAUGAAGGGUUUCGGCUCGUAAAACUCUGUUAUUAGGGAAGAACAAAUGUGUAAGUAACUGUGCACAUCUUGACGGUACCUAAUCAGAAAGCCACGGCUAACUACGUGCCAGCCGCCGCCGUAA
rnacentral:rRNA from 1 species